rnacentral:lncRNA from 1 species
CGGGAUAGAAAAGCAGGAAGCAAAACCACAACAUAACACUUCCAUAAUUCAAUAGAGUUACAAACAGAGGUCUACGGCCAAAAGUCUACAAAAGACCGGCUCUUAAAAAUGAAUUGUCCUACGACCUACAAGUCGGACACGUUCUCCAAUCUUACGACUUCACAUCUGCAACUCCUCAAGGCCAACCAAAGCUAUCUGGCCACUCCGUCCACCGGGGACCUGAAAUUUUAAUCCCACAACCGGGAUGAGACGAUGUCUCAGCAAGUUCAACCCCCUAAACCCCUAUUAGAAAGAAAAUACGCCCCGGGUGGCCUAGCCACAUCACACAGAAGACUUACCUCGCCUCAGCCUUCAUCUGCAGGUUAGCACAAUUUAUAUAAUUCAACCACGUACAAUUAUGAUAACCAAACAACCGUGGCACAAUCACAUUAUCAAGACAAUUCAACCACUUGGAUCGUCUCAGCGAUCAAUCGACUCGGCCGAUUACAUGUCAUUCUAGCAAAUCAAUCGCUGCUCUCAAUCCUGGCCCUAUAGGAAGGUUUAACAAUCAGUGGCAAUCACGGCCCCACUCGGCACGACCUUUAAUUAGGUGGUCCGUCACGGCCUCACUGGGCACGACCUCUAAUAGGUGGUCAAUCACGGCCUCACUAGGCACGACCUCUCCUAGGUGGUACAUCACGGCCUCACUGGGCACGACCUCUCAUAGGUGGUUCAUCACGGCCCUAUUAGGCACGACCUCUCAUAGGUGGUUCAUCACGGCCUCACUGGGCACGACCUCUCAUAGGUGGUUCAUCACGGCCUCACUGGGCACGACCUCUAAUAGGUGGUUAAUCACGGCCUCACUAGGCACGACCUUUCCUAGGUGGUACAUCACGGCUUCACUAGGCACGACCUUUCCUAGGUGGUACGUCACGGCCUCACUGGGCACGACCUUUCCUAGGUGGUACAUCACGGCCUCACUGGGCACGACCUUUCCUAGGUGGUACAUCACGACCAAUCUCCCAUCAAUUUCUACACUUAGGAUUUAUAAAGAAUCCCUAUUUAUCACAAUCACACUCCAUUUGCCACAAUCAAUCAUCGAAUUCAAAUUCUAAAUACACAGCAGCGAUCAGCACGAAAUUCUGAGAGAAUAAGGUUCCAAACUAAUUUUCAGAAUUUAUUAAAUAAUUAAAUUUAUUCCGAAAAUUAAUUAAAUAAUAAUAUCCAUGUCUUUCACGAUCCACACUCAAUUUAUAAUAUCCAAUCGUCAAUUUCAAAAUCUGACUACACAACAGCGAUCGGCACGAAAUUCUGAGCAACCGGGGUCAAAAAAUAAUUUUUCCGUUUUUUUUUAUAUAAUAUUUUAAUAAUUUCGGGAUAUAAUAUAAUAUUAUAAAUUCCAGAAUUCGAAAUCAUUAAAUAAUUCAAAAGUAAAACCCUAUUAUGUCACAUCAAGGCUUUAUAUUAAAAUAAACAUACUUAACUUUAAACUAAACAGACUUUAACUUAAUUAAGCAUCUUAAUAUAAUCCUCAACCAAAUAAACUAAUCUAACCACCUAAACUUACUUAACUUAGACUAAGCACACUUAGGGCAUCAUUAACCGUCUAAUCAAGGUUUAGUGAGUUAAACUCACCGGAUUAGCGAGCUGAGCGGACCAAAACGACGGGGACGCCGAGGAGAACAACUUUCCUCAAAGUGGGCCGAGCAUCCGGGCUCGGGAAGGCGGCCAAAACGGGCCAAACAUGGGCUGCCAUACCCAUUUUCUGGGUUGCUGAUUGGGGCUGAGAGGGAGCAGAUCCGGCGCCGGUUGAGGCGGCCAAGGGCGGCAGAGGCAAGGCGAAGCUCCGGCAGGCUAAGGCGAGGGCGCACGGUGGCCGGAGGCGGCUGAGCCGCGGCCUAAACUAGCCGAAAGGCCUCCCGGAGGCGAAGACAAGCAAGGACGACGGUGAGGGAGGUGGGGGUAGGCGGAGCCACGUCGGUGCACGAGACGGUGAGCUGGCUGGACGGCGACUCCAACGGUCCUUGUUAGCUCCGACGGUGGCCGGCCCAGCUUGCACGACGGCUUGGACGAGCAAAUGCAAGCGGAGCAGCGACUGGACGAGCUGGAGAGGCGCGACGGCAGCAGCUGGCUUCAACUGGCUUCCACGAGCGAGCGACGGCGAGGACGGCGGACAAAUGACGACGGCGAAGCCUCCGGUGGUCGAGCGGAUGGAGGCGGCGUCGGGGCUGGUCUGGUUCGCACAAUGCAGCCCACUCC